GAUGUGGGGUUCAGAAGUCUCACUCCUGGUAGGAGAGAAAUUGAAGUCAACUCCUUUUAUUCUGCAAUCUUAAUCCGAUCUCCAGGGAACCAUUGCGUUACCUACAUGACUCCCUCUAUUCCAUUUAGUGUCAGCUGAAAUGGCUCAAAAGCUGGGAGUGGAAUCCUCUGAGGGCUUGAUCUCUCACAUGUCUGGCAGUUGAUGCUGGUUGUUAACUGAGAAAUUAGCUGGAACUGUCGGGUUGAAAAAUUACAUGUGUAAUGUGCUUCCUCAUUUUAGGAGUUCCCUAGAAGCCACUAAAUGUUUUAAUACAAGGUUAUGUUGUUUA